UUCACGGAGAGUUUGAUCCUGGCUCAGGACGAACGCUGGCGGCGUGCUUAACACAUGCAAGUCGAACGAUGAACCACCUUCGGGUGG
rnacentral:rRNA from 1 species